rnacentral:lncRNA from 1 species
ACUUACUACGUGGCGGAUUCUGACUGUGAAGAGGACUGUCCCAAGUGAAGAGUGGGAGGCAAGUGCCUUGUGACCGGGAGGAGGUCGACCUUAAAGGAGCUGGUAUUGUAGCUCUUCUAAAGCCUAGUCUACUUAGGAAGGCAAAAGCGAAGCAGCAAGAAGUGGCCACAGAAGCCGUGUGGUCCCUAGAAGUAGAAGGGUAAGGAGGAUGCAGGAGAUGGUCCUACUUGUGGCCGCAACGGGGCUCAGAAGUCCGCUUGUUAGAGAUGGCAGUGACCUGUGACAAUCCAGUCUGCCCGACACGCCUCCCGCCUCCUUAGGAACGGGAAGGAGCCCCGGCCCAGUGCACUGACGUAGUUAGCCUAAGAUCACGUAGCUGGUUGGUCACAGAAUCAUGACUUUAAUUCAUGUCUUCUGACUCUGACCUGGCACGCUUUGUACCUCACCAAAGACAGUGAUGAAAUUGCAAAAGGGCAGAGUGGAGAAGACUGGAAUGUUCAGCCAAGGCAUUUGAACUUUUAAUGCUGCAAGUCAAGACUUCCUGAAGAUUUUUGAGCAGAUGAGUGAAGUGAUAAGAAAAUGCAUCUUCAGCAGUGACAGCAUCAACGAGGAGGAGACUGGCCGGGAGGCUAUUACCCGCAUCAAAACCAGUGAACAUUAAAAAAAAUUUUUUUUUUAGAGAGAGGGUCUUGCUCUUUUGCCCAGGCUGGAGUGCAGUGGCUUGACCAUAGUUCUCUAUAACCUUGAAUUCCUGCGUUCAAGCGAUCUUCCUUCCUCAGCUUCCGGAGUAGCUGGGACUACAGAUGCGUGCCACCAUGCCAGGCCAAUUUUUAAUUUUGUUUUGUAAAGAUGGGGUUUCUGUGUUGCCCAGGUAGGACAAAGAGGAAUGACAAAAGGCAUGUAACCACCUGAAUUUGCCCCUAUCAAAGAGCUCUCCAGGAAGCACCACCAAGGAAUUUUCACUGACAUUUCCCAGGCCAGACCAUGCUGCUGCUAAGCAAAAUGAGGAUUCUGCUAGUGAGGAUGAAAGGAAGAAUGUGUAAUCAGUUUUCUUGAAGUAUAAUACAUGUACAAUAAACUGAACCUAUUGGAAAUAUACAUUUGGAUGAGUUUUGACAGAUGUAUAUACCACAGUCAAGAUACAGAACAUUCCCAUCACUCCAAGAGAUUCUUUGUGUCCCUUUGUGGUCAAUCCCUCCUACACGAGGCCCCUAGGUAACCGCUGAUCUGUUUUCCAUCACAAUAGAUUAGUCUGCAUAUUCUAGCAUCUUUAAUAAAUGCAGUCAUACAG